AGGACGAACGCUGGCGGCGCGCUUAACACAUGCAAGUCGAGCGAGAACCGGACCUUCGGGUCCGGGGACAGCGGCGAACGGGUGAGUAACACGUGGGUAAUCUGCCCUCGAUUCUGGGAUAGCCCGGGGAAACCCGGAUUAAUACCGGAUAGCCUCUUGAGCCUUCGGGCUCUCGAGAAAAGGUAGCUUCGGCCUCCGAUCGAGGAUGAGCCCGCGGUGGAUUAGCUUGUUGGUGGGGUAAUGGCCCACCAAGGCGACGAUCCAUAGCUGGUCUGAGAGGACGAUCAGCCACACUGGGACUGAGACACGGCCCAGACUCCUACGGGAGGCAGCAGGUGGGGAAUCUUGCGCAAGUGGGACGAAAGCCUGACGCAGCGACGCCGCGUGGGAAGAAGGCCUUAGGGUGUAAACCUCUUCAGCGAGGACGAAGCCACGUCGGUUAAUAGCCCAGGAGGUGACGGUACCUGCAGAAGACGCCCCGGAUAACCUACGUGACCGAGCCGAGCCGCGGUAAUCGUAGAGG
rnacentral:rRNA from 1 species